CUCUUUAAGAGCAUGAGGUUUUCUCAUAUCUUCUUGCAAGUCUUGGUCCUGACUAUGAUCCUUUUGUCACCUCUGCUACAACUAGAGUUGAUCCAUUAUCCAUAGAUGAGAUUUAUGGUCACCUCCUUAGCUAUGAAC